ACAAACAAGUGGCUGGGGCAGAAUUAGAACUCACAUCCUCUGAUUCCCCAAGUUUUUCUGCUGCUAGGUUUUUCUGCAAUGUUUUACCAAAAGAGGGCAGUAUCAUACAGCAACGACACACUUUAAGAGUCAUAGGAUGUCUGCUGACUGCAAAAAUGUUCCGUUCUUCAGCUAUCAUAUCUUUCCUUGGGGUCUCUCGGCGAAGAUACUGAGAAAGCAGAAGUCAGUGGACCAUGGUCUUUGCUCCUUGGCUGGUAAUUGUGGCCUUACUGGUGUUGGGGGGAACAAAUGGAGACUCGGUGAACCAGACAGAAGACCAACUGACCCUCGUUGAAGAGGCAACACUCACUAUCAACUGCACUUACAAAAUCAGCGUUCCACCUACUCUCUUCUGGUACGUUCAAUUUCCCCGGGAAGCCCCUCGGGUUCUCCUGAGAGACACAUCGGAGGAGGAGCAGAAGAAAGCCAGCAAUGGUUUUCAUGCAAAACACGAUAGGACCACCACAUCCUUCCAUCUGAGGAAACAAGCCGUCAACCGGAGAGACUCGGCCGUGUACUACUGUGCUAUGAAGGACACGGUGACAGGAGCUGUAGGGGGAGCUGCACGCAAACCCCUGAUCCAGCAGUGAUGUGGAGUCUGGGCAGAGCAAUUUUUGAAGUGACCAGUGAAUGAGAAAUUCCUU